UGAGGAAUAUUGAGCAAUGGGCGCAAGCCUGACUCAGCAACGCCGCGUGGAUGAAGAAGGCCUUCGGGUUGUAAAAUCCUUUUCUGAGGGAAGAUAAUGACGGUACCUCAGGAAUAAGUUCCGGCUAACUACGUGCCAGCAGCCGCGGUAAAACGUAGGGGACAAGCGUUAUCCGGAUUUACUGGGCGUAAAGCGCCCGUAGGCGGCUUAACAAGUUGGAUGUGAAAGCUCCCGGCUUAACUGGGAGAGGUCAUUCAAAACUGUUAGGCUAGAGGAUGGAAGAGGAGAGCGGAAUUCCCGGUGUAGUGGUGGAAUGCGUAGAGAUCGGGAGGAACACCAGUGGCGAAAGCGGCUCUCUGGUUCACACCUGACGCUGAGGGGCGAAAGCGUGGGGAGCGAACGG
rnacentral:rRNA from 1 species